UACAGAGGGGGCAAGCGUUGUUCGGAAUUACUGGGCGUAAAGGGCGCGUAGGCGGCCUUCUAAGUCGAACGUGAAAUCCCCGGGCUCAACCCGGGAACUGCGUCCGAUACUGGAAGGCUUGAAUCCGGGAGAGGGAUGUGGAAUUCCAGGUGUAGCGGUGAAAUGCGUAGAUAUCUGGAGGAACACCUGCGGUGUAGACGGCUUUCUGGACCAUUGCUGACGCUGAGACACGAAAGCGUGGGUAGCAAACAGG
rnacentral:rRNA from 1 species